GACGAACGCUGGCGGCGUGCUUAACACAUGCAAGUCGAACGGUGAAGGGAUCAGCUUGCUGGUUCUGGAUGAGUGGCGAACGGGUGAGUAACACGUGAGUAACCUGCCCCCUUCUUCUGGAUAACCGCAUGAAAGUGUGGCCAAUACGGGAUAUUCUGCGCCUGCUGCAUGGUGGGUGUGGGAAAGAUAUUGUUUCGGUGGGGGAUGGGCUCGCGGCCUAUCAGCUUGUUGGUGGGGUGAUGGCCUACCAAGGCGGUGACGGGUAGCCGGCCUGAGAGGGUGGACGGUCACACUGGGACUGAGACACGGCCCAGACUCCUACGGGAGGCAGCAGUGGGGAAUAUUGCACAAUGGGCGCAAGCCUGAUGCAGCGACGCCGCGUGAGGGAUGGAGGCCUUCGGGUUGUGAACCUCUUUCGCCAGUGAAGCAGGCCUGUCCCUUGUGGGUGGGUUGACGGUAGCUGGAUAAGAAGCGCCGGCUAACUACGUG
rnacentral:rRNA from 1 species